rnacentral:rRNA from 1 species
UACAGAGGCCCCAAGCGUUACUGAGAAUCACUGGGUUUAAAGCGUGCGUAGACGGUAGCGUAAGUCAGAUGUGAAAGCCCCGGGCUCAACCUGGGAACUGCAUUUGAGACUGCUCUGCUCGGGUGCGGAAGAGGGAAGCGGAAUUUCCGGUGUAGCGGUGAAAUGCGUAGAUAUCGGAAGGAACGCCGGUGGCGAAAGCGACGUGCUGGACCUCUUCUGACGCUGAGGCGCGAAAGCUAGGGGAGCAAACGGG